AGGGGCGCACCGACUCGCUCCGUCCCAUUUACAUCCCCAGUUCUAAUUGUUUGGGACGGGCAGAAUUGUGAGCUGUGAAAGCGAAAGAGGAGGCGCCCUUUUUCCCAGUCAGAACUAUUGGCCUGGGAAACGGGUGUCUUUCCUCUAACGCCGGGAAUGGUGUGACCGGCCUCGCUCUGGCUCUGGUUGCAGAGCUUGAACCACUUGGGGGCGUUCCGAGUCUGAGGAGCGCGCGGGACGAAAGUCGUGACGAGCUCGGUACCCCAUCACCUCCAGGCUUGCUCGAACUGCCUUGUCCGGUAAAAGACAAGAUGAUAACACUGAAACUCAGAGAGGUGAACAUGUUGAUCAAGAUCACAUGGCCAAUUAGGAAUAGAAGCAGAGCUCCUGCCAGCCUUUGAACUGAGUGACAUCCACUCGCCUGGCUUUGUCUACACACUGAGAGGAGAGAACAACGGCUUCAGCACAAUGUUUCUGGGAAGUCUCAUUUCUGGGCCUGUUUGCCCCUGAUCUAUUCCCCAUGGCCUCACAGAAGGUCCUGCCCUCUGCAACCCCCUCACCCACCCCAUAAUGGGUGGGUGUUGGGUUGGCUGUAUGCCCAGCAAGAUAUAGGCACUAGGUUUAAUCCUCAACCUUGCAAAAAAUUACUUUAAGUUAAAUAUUGUGUAAUUACUACCACUGGAAUUGGUACGUAAGAGGCUGGGGAGAAAAGUACAAAGAUCAGUGUUAAGAUCCCCAGGACCCAGCCGGGUGGUGGUGGCGCACGCCUUUAAUCCCAGCACUCGGGAGGCAGAGGCAGGCAGAUCUGUGAGUUCGAGGCCA